UGUUAGUUUGGAUCUUUUUCUUUGGGUUCUCAGUAAUUUUAGAGAUAUUGAGAGAGAGAAAAAAAAUUAGGUUACUAUACUAUUAAUAGUACCAAGCAACUAUUAGGUUUUCGACCCUUAGAUGACAGUUAGGAUAAUAGUUGUCCUCUAGGAUUAAAUAGGUGGUUGGUUAAAUAGUAUGAUCUAACGGAUGAAAUUAGUUAAAGAGAUAGCUCUAACAACGAAAAAUUCGAUAGUACUAAGUGUUUGUUACUAUCAAUAGCAUAGUAGCCAAACUAUAUAUAUAUAUAUAUAUAUAUAUUUAUUUAUUUAUUUAUUUAUUUAUUUAUUUAUUUAUUUAUUUGAGUUAGAAUACUUUUAAAAGCACGAGUGCUUCUAAGUUUUUAGCCCUUAAAUCUACUCCUUGAUUACUAAUACCCCUUGGAUCAAACACUAUUUCACCUACCACCACCUACCACCAUCAUCUCAACCCUACAUCUCUCCAUCUAAUGGUUAAAAACUCAAAAACAUCACCCCCUUUGUGCUUUUGAAAAUAUUCCAGCUCAACUAUAUAUAUAUAUAUAUAUAUGCAAAAUGAGUCUGAUCAAAUAUGAUAUUUGUAUAUACACUAGUGUACUGUUAUAGAACUUGCUCUCUCUCUAGUACAGGACAAUAGGGAACAAUUUCUUCCAGGACUUUCUAAAUUUGUUGCUGUUAAAACUCGCCAAUCGCGAAAUCUUUUUGAUCUCAGCUCUCUCUUCAGCUGGGUCCCCCUUCUUGUGGAUUUCCGGCGUCGAUUCGUCCCAAAAGUGAGCUCCCCUUCGCUUCUUCCUGAUGGUGGCAAGCACAUCAUCUCUGUUGCAAAUUCCCCACACCGUGACCUUCUGAAGGCGGUAAUCGACAUCCACGGAAUGUAUCCCUGCACGAUUAUAUAUCACAACACUCAUCAUGAUCGCCCAAAUUGAUUCCCUCUACGUUAAAAUAUCGUUCAAAAUGAUAGUAAAGUGCUCAAAUUCGAAUCAUAGAAUGUUAAAAUGCGAACUAUACUACGCCGCAAUAAAAGGGUUAAA
rnacentral:lncRNA from 1 species